CUGCUUGGGCAGCGCAUAUACUAAAACUGGAAUGAUACUGCGAAGAUUAUCAUGGGCUCUGCACAAGGAUGAUUCGUGAAUUUGUGAAGCAUUCCAUGUUCUU
rnacentral:snRNA from 1 species